ensembl:lincRNA
GUCCCGCCCCGCCCCCAUCCGCCCAGGCCGGGCUCGGCCCCCGCCGGCGAGAGUCGCCGCGCGCCGACUCUCCUCCUCUGCCCGGCGCGUCCGGCAGGGACCCCGCCCCUCCCCAUCCCCGCCGAGGUCGUCCAGUGGGCCACUUUCGCAGUUUUCGUCCCUUUCGCCUUAAAACUCACCGCGGCCCCUCGGCGCUCUCUCUCUCCACGCCUCGUCCCGCUCACUUCAGAACUCGCCGUCUGCCCCAGCCUCGUGCCCUGUUGCUGCCUGAUUCUCUCAUCCUCCCUCCGGGCGUUCCCAAACGUAGCUCGGGGUCUCUUAAGAUAAUCCGAAGAGACUGGAAAUACCUUCCUGAAAGGCUGGGGUUGAUGAGGUGUGGGGAAGCUUGGUCCCCAAAGAAAGUAAAAGCCCAGUGUUCCUCACCUGUGGAGUUGGGAAAUGUGGGGCUGCGGAAUGGGCCCUCUCAGCUCCCCUCCUGGUGGCCUGCGCCUGGAGUUCGGUCUUCUGCUUUCUACAUCAAACUCGAAAAGAUGGUAUUGAAUGGCGUUGGACAUCACGGCUGGAUCCAGCAAGGUGCUGGCAGUACCCCUGGAACAGUGGGGCUGCCCGGAGCCCUGGGAGGAGUGGUUCUUUCCACACCAGUCACUGGCUGUGCAUGAACGUGUCUGACUAAACGCUUCAUCUGCUGGGCAGUGAAACUCCUUUUCCACGUCUAGGUCUUGCCCAGAGACACAUGGGAGUACAUAUUACUGGACUCUUUCUCAGAGUUGGAGUUUAGUUAAGAUGCAAAAUCAGUCAAACCAAACAGCCCCUGUGGUUAAAAAGUACCUUUUUCCCAGAACGUGUUACGUCUUCUAGGACAGUGUAACCUAAUAGAACGAUUCCUAUAAUGGAAAUAGUUUAAUAAGGAAGCCACUAGCCACGUAUAAUUAUUGAGUGCCUGAAAUCUGGCAAGUGUGAUUGAAGAGAUGGAUUUUCAGUUUCAAUUUAUUCUUACUUAAAUAGCCGCGUGGCUAAGUGCUACGAUGCCGAGCAGCACAUUUCCACAGGAUUUGUACUAUACAGGAUCAGUAGUGAAGAGCAAAUAGUUCACUUACACACCAGCACUCUCUGCACUGCAGUAACCAGCUGGGUUUCAUUCUAAUAUGUGCAUUCACGACACUGAUCCAUAAAAUGGUUAACUCCCACUGGGCACAGAUACUCCACUCUGGAACUGUUUAGAAUAUUUGAGGAGAAAGUUAAUUUCAUUGGUUAAUUUAUAUGUGAAAUACUUAAACAUUAGACAAAGGUGGUGGCUGUGGACAUGGAGAUGUCAACAAAGUGUUUACCUCCUACCACUGUGAAGCUUAUAUUGUAGCACCGGAAACUUUGCAGAAGACAACAUCAUAAGUGGAUUACAAUGCUGAUAAAUAAUAGAAGGGAAAACCUGAGUAGUCUGAGAGAACUUACAAGAGCUUGUAGUUUAGUCUGAGAAUCUAGGAGGACAUGAACUAAAAGGUAUAGAAGUGAUAUUCACUGCUAGUUAAGUGACCUUGGAAAAGUUCUUUAAAUUCCAUGAGCUUUAGAUUUCUUAUCUGUAAAUACAUUUCUGCACGGGUGUAUUAAGAUAUUAAAUGUAAGUGCUUAGCUCAGAGUCUAGUUUAUUGCACACUCUGGGAAUGUUAGUUCUCAAAUACUUUUCUUUAUGAUAAAAAACAUUUGCUAUCAUCUUGUUUUUAUAUAUUAUUCUUUGACUUAUUUAACAAAUAUUUGUUUAGUCUCUACUAUCAACCGGGUACUGUUAUCAAGAAAUACAAAUAAACAAUGCAGACCACAACUUCAGGGGGCUUAUACUCUACUAAGGGUAGAGUACACACACAUACAUUUGAAUGAGUGUGGAAUGUUACUUGUGCAAAUAAAGAAAUAAAUAAUACACAAUCUGUUUUAUGGUAAGUGUUUUCAAAAACUAGAGAGGGAUAGUUUAAGUAUACAUGUGCUGAAAGAGACAGUUCAAAAUUGAUUGGUCGGAGAACAUCUUUUUGAUAAUUUUGGCGGAGAUUAGAAACAAGUGAGGAAAUAAAGGUUGAGGUUAUCUGAAGGAAGAGUUCCCAGAAGUGGGAGGACCUAGCACGGUGUUUGAGACAGAUGCAUCAUGUUGAGAGAUAGCAGAUGCCACUGGAGUUUGGAAAGGGGAAGGAACUGGUGAGCUGCUAACAAGUUAGGCCAGUGCUGUGCAAUAGAACCAUCUAGAAUUAUAAAUUAUAAUUUACAAUUUUAGUAGCCAUAGUUAAUAACAAGUGAAAGUAAUUUUAAUACUUUUUACUCAUAUUAGUAUAUCCGAAAUGUAAUUCUAACACAAUAUCAAUAUAAAAUUUUUGGUAAUUGUUCUUUGCAUUGGCAUUAAUUUUUUAAAGCUAUUGUGAAUUAAAAUACUCUUAGAGCAAGUCCUAGUUCAUGUUACAUUGUAGAUGUCCAAUAGAAAGCAUGGCUAAUGGCUACCACAUAAGAUAGUGUGUAUUUAGAACCUGGAAGACAGUUUUAAAGACUUUGACUUUUAUUUUGGGUGAUAAUAAAUGUGUCAUGCAGAAUGGGGAUGUAGAUUUUCCUUAUACUUUAUAAUAUAGGACCAAUCUAGUUGUAUUUUCUUGGAGCACUGUGAGGCCUGUGGGGGAGAAGAAACCUGAGCAGACAAGGGUAGAAUCAGGGAAAGCACUUAAACAUAAUUGAAGUGACCCCUUUCCCUUGAAAUAGAAGAAAAACAAGAAUUUUCUUCUCCCCACCCAGUGUCUGCACCUCCUGCUCAUUUGCACUAGUAGAAGCUUUGGAAAAUUUAGUAAGAAUUUAAUUUCGGGGGCUGGGGAUAUAGCUCAGUAGCACAAGUGCCUGUCUGGCAAGUGCAAGGUCCUGAGUUCAAUCCCAGGUACCAAAAAAAAAAAAAAAAAAAGAAUUUAAUUUAAUGUUUAUUAAGAUUCCUAUAGUUAUUUUCCAUUUUCCACAGACAAUGAAGGUGUUUCUCAUACUGUAAAGAGAUAUGACAAUUUCCUGGAAAAUCUUUAUCAAGGACUAUAUUUUUUUUAUUAAAAAUAAUAAAGUAAUACGUUCUAGGGAGAAUUUUAGGAAAUAAAUUUAUUUGGAUAAGAGGUAUGUUGAAGGACAAAUUUAUACGGAAGCUCUUUAUCAUCGAAAAUGAAGAAAACUGGUUGUAUGCCAAAAUAUAGUAAGACAUAUAUGAUAUUAAAAGAGAAUAUAAAUGUAGGUACUUAUAAUUUAUCUAGCUAAAAGUAGCCAGUAUAAUUGUGGUUCUAAUAAAGAUGGUUUCAAUAAGUAAACUUGUGAGCCACUUCAUAAGACUUCUAUGAAGGAAUUUGAUGACAUAGUUUGAGAAAAUCAAUAACAACAAAAACUUCCUAAUAUUAUAAUAGUUUAUAGUGAAAAAAUUACAAAACUGGCUGUUUGUCCUCCUCGACUCUUUUAGUAAAUUUAAGCAUGGGCAUAUUUGACAAUUGUGACAUAUGAAUCAUUUCCUACCUCCAGAGGCUUGAAGCUAUUAAAAUACAGUAUCAGAUAUCACCUGGAUUCAUGCUGUGGGUAGAGAUGAUGCCAGAGUUGGGGUGUGCUCCUGGCUUUAGAAUAAAAUUAAUGUCAACCAUCCUGAGAGCAGCUCAGAUGCUGUUGGCAGAGAGUGAUUAGACACUGCUCUACUAUUUCCACUAAUUGGAAAGACUUAGUAAUAACUUUCAAAUCACAGGGAAAAAAGGGUCUGAUGAGUUUGAAGAGGGGGAUAUCAUAAUUUGACCACUUAUGAAAGUUAAUGCAAAUAUUUAUAUAAGCAGUUCAGCUUAUGCUACUUUUAGAGGUUAUAAUCAAGUUUUGGGUGGUCCUGACACUUCAGUAUUUUGCUUAUCUGUUUUCAGUGUUAUCAUUUUUUCUUGACAGAUAAAGGCUGAAUUGGUUUCAUUUGUGUGAAGCAACUGUGGCAUCUAGUGGUUAAUAAUCAUAAUGGUAAUUCAGUUUAUUUCCAGGGGAUAAGUUAUAAGUAUUUUUAUAUUACCAAAGAAUUUCACAGUAACUAUCAUUUUGCUAUAUUUUUAUUUCAUCAGAAAUGACCAUGUGAGAUGAACAAAGGUAAUCUACUCAAAGAGGAAAAGGUAAUUUUUCAAAGCAGAUUAUAAACAUUUAAGUUUUAGAGCCCAAUAUUGAUUUAUAUUUAUAUAUUAACCACAAGAAUGCUGUAGUUAAAUUUCUACACUGAUUGGACAUUUGAUGCUACAAAAUUAUUAGUUCUGUUAUUACACACGAUAAUGCUAUCAAAACUAUGAUUUGGGGGAGUCCUUAUUUUCAGAAGUACAUACUAAAGUGUUUACUGAUGAAUUGUUAUGAUGUCUAGGAUUCAAAUAAUAUGAUGGGUAGAUAUUAAUGUGUGUGAAGACUGACUGAAUAUUAUUGAUCAAUAUUAAGGUGGGUGAUAAAUUUGGAAUCUCCCAUCCUAAAAAGUUUAAAGGGCUGAGGUCUAGCUCAGUGUUAGAGCAGUUACCCAGCAUGUGCAAGACUCUGCGUUCAGCCCCCCAGUAGUAGCAUAAAUAGAUAAAUAAAUAAAUAAGUAGAUGAUAUCUUCUUUAUUUAAGAUUAGUAGGCAUUCAACAUUUAUUUUCUGUAUAUUUAUUUUGAGCAAGAGAAGGUCCACUUGUCUAAAUGAUCAAUGAGAAAAAGAUGUCACUUAGGAAAGGGAAAACAGGACUAUAGCAAAAUUAAAACUCACCUCUCUUAUACCCAUUUGGCCCCCAAUAACAGUCCUGAAGCAUAAGCAAAAUACUCAUUAAAGCUUUUGCAGACAAGAGACCCAAUUUCUGAUGUAAGAAUUUUUUUCAAGUAGUAAUAGUCUAUGAUUAGGCAGUGAGCUGGAAAAUCAUCAGUGUUCGUAACCACCAAAGUGAAUUUAUUCUAGAAAAUAUUUUCUCUUAAUUUCUUUUUGCUACACUCUGAAAAUAUGAAUAAACUCCAACAUUUUCCAUCUUAGAAAAUGUAAUAUGUACAUGUCACAUUCCUUUUGUUUAUUUAAUUUUUAACCUCUGUCAGUUGCUUUUCUUUUACAUCCUAUGGAUCAGUUCCACUCAGUGGAAAUAUAUUACCCACAUAUGUAAUUUAAAUUUUUUUACUGGGCCCAGUCAAAAAAGUAAAACCAAAUGAAAUUAACCUUAAAAAUAGAGUUUAUUUUUACUCAGUAUGUCUGGUUCUGAAAACAUACUUUUUAAAUAAAAAACAAC